UCACUACGCAGCCGCGUCAUUUGCAGCAUCAACAGCGCCUCGUUACGCAUCUGCCGAUAACUGACGUCCAUUUUGGGUAUAUUUAUAGUUACUUUAGUCUUUUGUAGUCCUGGAUGGGAUAACAUCGUGUAGAGUAACACUCCAGCAGCGGAAAUCUGGCACAAAUUCGACGUAUCAACAACAUAGAGAAGUUUAGUUACGCCGUGUAGAUAUUUGGACCAUAGGGGCGCCAUUGUUCCACCAAGUUCACGAAUUUUUGUUUCGGAUUCAACUUCGGUGCCGUUUUCGCCCACUUUGCGCUUCCAUUUUAUCAGGACGAUAUCCGUCCCGACUGUUGGUACGGAAGUUGUUGUGUUAUCCACGGAAUUUUCAUUUUGCAGUUUUCUUAAAAGCAAAGUUUUUCCGGAACCUGUAGGACCCAAACAGAUAAUGUUUGGGUCCAUUUGGCGUGGUGUAGAAGUUGUCAUUGUUUAAAAUAUUGUAAACAAUUGCAAGAAAUACUACAAAACUUGUAGAAGAGGUUAAAAUGUUUUGUUUGGUCGUUUCAUCGUCAUGGCAACAAAUAUUGAUUGAUUAUUAAAGAUUUUGGGGGAUUUUAUUUACGUGAUUGGCGAUAUUGUUUUGAGGAGCGUUGUUUUGUAAGCAGCGCAUGCGCAAUACUAUAGAAAUAAACAAACGAAAAACUUUC